rnacentral:rRNA from 1 species
CCUACGGGAGGCAGCAGUGGGGAAUAUUGGGCAAUGGAGGAAACUCUGACCCAGCAACGCCGCGUGAAUGAUGACGGUCUUCUGAGUGUAAAGUUGUUUUCUAAGGGAGGAAGAAAGUGACGGUACCUUAGGAAUAAACCUCUGCUAACUACGUGCAACCGGCCGCGGUAAUACGUAGGACGCAAGCGUUAUCCGGAAUGAAUGGGCGUAAGGGGUGCGUAGGUGGUUUGACAAGUUGGUAGCGUAACUCCGGGGCUCAACCUCGGCACUACUACCAAUACUGUUGGACUUGAGUGCAGGAGCGGCAAAUGGAAUUUCUAGUGUAGCGGUGGAAUGCGUAGAUAUUAGGCGGAACACCAGUGGCGAAGGCGGCCUGCUGGACGACAACUGACGGUGAGGCGCGAAAGCGUGGGGAGCAAACAGGAUUAGAUACCCUGGUAGUC